GUGGCGAACGGGUGAGGAACACGUAAGAAACCUGCCCCAAAGACGAGGAUAACUGUUGGAAACGAUAGCUAAUACUGGAUAGGACAUUAGAUCGCAUGGUCUUUUGUUUAAAGGUGCUUUCAAGCACCGCUAUGGGAUGGUCUUGCGUUGCAUUAGCUAGUUGGUAGGGUAACGGCCUACCAAGGCGAUGAUGCAUAGCUGGUCUGAGAGGAUGAACAGCCACACUGGGACUGAGACACGGCCCAGACUCC
rnacentral:rRNA from 1 species